UUUAUGUGAAGAAAAAAAAAAAAAGACAUUUCCUUCAAAAUAUUGAUACAAUACAUAGUACGUACACAUUAAGAAGCAUUAUAUUUAUUAUUAUUUAUUUCUGUCACUCAAUUCACACGAGUUAAAAAGGAAAGGGGUUAUCUUGAAAUUUACAAUUAAAAAAAUUUAGAAAAAUUCGAAAACAGUAUGUUAAAGCAAUAACAGGCUCAGAUCUGUUGUUGAAUCGGAGAAGAGAAUCGACCUCGCCAUGGCUGCAGAAUUACAGGUUGCAUAUGAAAAGGAAAAUCCAAAUUCACAUACCAUCCAGAUCGCCACGCCAAGAUACGGGUCGAAUUAUCUGAACCUCCGAUCUAUAAGCUUGGAAGAUUUAAGAAACAUCAUCAUAGCCUAUUAUUCGAGGAUCAAACUGGUAACCACACAUUCCUUCGGACCUCAAAAUCACUUCCAAACAAGCUCUCUAAGUGUAUGUUUGUCUUUCGAUAUAAUGGUUGUCAAACAGGAGCUAAAUUAAACCAUUUAUAAAUAGUUUCCAAACGGAGGAUGAAAUAUAAAAACGUAAAAGGCCUCGUAAUAGGAAACCAUAGGAAAUUUUCUGUAUGAAGGGCGGUUGAUUUUGGUUCAAAAUCAUUGGCCGUACAGAGAGGGGUAACCACCCUUAAAGAAUUCCCAGUCUCUCUGUAAACCUCAUUCUUCU
rnacentral:lncRNA from 1 species